rnacentral:tRNA from 1 species
UCCCUGGAGGACUAGGGGUUAGGCCUCAGCGCUCUCAUCAUUGUGGCCCGGGAUCGAUUCCCAGCCAGGGAA